rnacentral:rRNA from 1 species
AUUGAACGCUGGCGGCAGGCCUAACACAUGCAAGUCGAACGAGUGGCGGACGGGUGAGUAAUGUAUGGGAAACUGCCCGAGGGAGGGGGAUAACUACUGGAAACGGUAACUAAUACCGCAUACCAUCGGAUGUGCCCAGAUGGGAUUAGGUAGGAGGUGGGGUAACGGCUCACCUAGGCGACGAUCCCUAGCUGGUUGGAGAGGAUGACCAGCCACACUGGAACUGAGACACGGCCCAGACGCCUACGGGAGGCAGCAGUGGGGAAUAUUGCACAAUGGGCGAAAGCCUGAUGCAGCCAUGCCGCGUGUAUGAAGAAGGCCUUCGGGUUGUAAAGUACUUUCAGCGGGGAGGCGUUACUCGCAGAAGAAGCACCGGCUAACUCCGUGCCAGCAGCCGCGGUAAUUC